CCACUAUUUCCGCUGCAGGCUACAUGGAUCUGUCCAUCUGAUUCUCAAGCCCCGAGAGCACGAGUUUCGCCAUACUGACCGUGGUCACAGACCCGUACGUGCACGCACAGGACUACCAGCAAAACAACACGGCUGUCAUUAAACUGCCUGACACGGAAUGCGACCACUGCGUCAUCCGGGUACGUUACGACGCUCACACACUUGGUGAGGACCCAUCCCUACAGUGCGCGGACAUUAAACUCACCAAAAGGGCGAAAAAAAUAGAUACUCUGAAAUAUUUGUCCGUCGAAAGCAAGACUGACAAGCAGAAACUUAUACCUCUGAAGAGAGGGUUGGAACUGAAGAAAUACUACGAACAAAAGUACAAAUCCAAUCUGAAAAUGGAGGGCACAAACUUGUACGGUUUUGCCUACAAUCCGUUCUAGCCCCAUAGAAACAAUUAUAUCUCGGUCUCCGUGACCACUGGUGCUACUCAGAUAAUGAACAGCUUUGCCUUUGGAAUUGAUGACCCAUCUGGUGGUCAAGACAAUACGUUCAUGCUAGAUGAAGUGGUUGCCAUUGAAAACGGUCCACGACGCAGCUUCGUCGCGCGAGGAGGCGGCCAAGAUUGUCUUUCGCAUUGGCUCCCAGAACGGAUCUCUGGUACAGACGUCGGGCAUAUUUAAGGACGACCCGAUCCAUAUUAACGGGUUGUCGUGGUACAAAGACAAGCUGUAUGCGGCGUUCAGAAUUGUGCCAAAUGAUAAUGAGGCCAUUUACGCCUUCUGCCCGGGCCUGUGGGCAAAGUCCGGUCACGAGUGGGCGUGGUCACUGGUUGCCGUGGAUACCAUGAAUGGGGCGGUUUCAAAGAACUGUGACAUCGCGCCAAAGAGUAGGACGCGGAGCUGUCAACUCUUACGUUAUAACCUACUUGUAACUGGCGACAUCAGAUUUUCUUCAUAACUCAUAAAAUGUGGAUGGCAAACAGGCAUAUUCCAGCGCUAUUACGGUGGCUCGGUGUUCCAGGGCACACAACCACGCCAGUUUCUGCGAUGAAUGUUGUAGUCCGUCUUAGAUCUUCCAGACCUUAAAACAGUUUUCUGUGGAGGGUUGUGUCUUUGGACCACUUCGCAGCUCGCUCCUGGUCGUGUCUUUUGCAUCUUUGGAGAACGUGUUCAGCAGUUUUUUCAUCUUCUCCACAUGGACAGAGUGGUGAGGGUACCAGCUUGCAUAUUCUGUACAUGUGGGCAUUCAGUCUGUUUUGUCCUGAGCGUAGUCGAACCAUCACUUCUUGUUCUGCUCUGUUAGGCAGGUGGUAAGCAUCUUGUUCUUGCUGGGGCCUGGUGAUUGCCUUUAUGAUGGUGACUUUCUCUCUGUAUGAAACCUCGGUAUUUGAUUGCUCUGUUUUUGCUUCCUGUUUCGCUAGUUGGUCAGCCUCUUCGUUUCCUGGCACUCCACAGUGGGCAAGUAUCCACUAGAGGGCUCUGUUGUGGUCCAAGGCUCCAGUAAUCUGGACGGGUUUCGAUACCACGUGCUGCGCGUGAUGUACAGUGAAGCUGACUUUAUAGUGGGCGUUAACCCCGACACGUGUGAAGUGCGCUUCUCGGAGGUGACCACUCUUCGAUACGUGCAGCUGGUAAAUCCAGCUCCGUUAUGAUGACUUUGAACAACAGAGUAGAACGACUUUUUACCUGAAAAUAUUGCAUAUUGCUAUGAACGACAAUUGUUUAACAAUGAUUAUUAUACAUUAAAUGUUUUGUAGUGUAUGUCGUUUUUGAAACAAGCAUGCAUUAACGUUAUUAUCAUCUCUGAG